UACGGAGGGUGCGAGCGUUGUCCGGAAUCACUGGGCGUAAAGGGCGCGUAGGCGGCGCGGGGAGUCAACGGUGAAAGCUCGGCGCUCAACGCCGAGUCGGCCGUCGAUACUCCCGUGCUUGAGCACUGUAGAGGCAGGUGGAAUUCCGGGUGUAGCGGUGGAAUGCGUAGAGAUCCGGAAGAACACCGGUGGCGAAGGCGGCCUGCUGGGCAGUAGCUGACGCUGAGGCGCGACAGCGUGGGGGGCAAACAGG
rnacentral:rRNA from 1 species